GGGUACGAGACAGGAGACUCGAGAGGAUGAGAUGCGACGUCGCAAGAUGAGAUUCCUAUUGCCGUAGGAUGAUGCCCCGAGCAGGUCUCAGGUUAGGAGGAGCACAGCAUACGAUGGAGAUGGGAUCGAGCAGUCUGGCUCAACUUCUAUAUUUGCCCAUCCAUGAUUAGCAGGCGAUUGCCCCAGGAUAUGGGGGUGAGGAGA
rnacentral:lncRNA from 1 species